GCAUUGGUGGCUCAGUGAUAGAAUUCUCACCUUCCAUGCAGGAGACCUGGGUUCAAUUCCCGGUCAAUGCC
rnacentral:tRNA from 1 species